UACGAAGGGGGCUAGCGUUGUUCGGAAUUACUGGGCGUAAAGCGCGCGUAGGCGGUUUUGCAAGCCAGAGGUGAAAUGCCUGAGCUUAACUUAGGAAUUGCCUUUGGGACUGCGAGGCUUUGAGGACGAGAGAGGUGAGUGGAAUUCCCAGUGUAGAGGUGAAAUUCGUAGAUAUUGGGAAGAACACCGGUGGCGAAGGCGGCUCACUGGCUCGUUUCUGACGCUGUAGCGCGAAAGCGUGGGGAUCAAACAGG
rnacentral:rRNA from 2 species